AGUCGUAACAAGGUUUCCGUAGGUGAACCUGCGGAAGGAUCAUUGUCGAAACCUGCCCAGCAGAACGACCCGUGAACUUGUGAUUGUACUCGAGGGGGUCCGAUGUGGGAAGCUCUAGCUACUUGCAUUGGCACCCCUCCUGUCGCGGGGUGCGAGCGGGAUCUCCCUCGCUCCUCGUGGCAGAACAACGAACCCCCGGCGCGAGUUGCGCCAAGGAAAAUUUAACGAGAGAGAGCGCUCCCGUCGUCCCGGACACGGAUCGACGUGCGGGUUGCGUCUUCUUCUUUCAACGAAAAUCUAAAAUGACUCUCGGCAACGGAUAUCUCGGCUCUCGCAUCGAUGAAAAAUGCGAUACUUGGUGUGAAUUGCAGAAUCCCGUGAACCAUCGAGUCUUUGAACGCAAGUUGCGCCCCAAGCCUUUAGGCCGAGGGCACGUCUGCCUGGGUGUCACGCAUCGUUGCCCCCCUCAACCCCGUCUUGGGGGAUGGUUGGACGGGCGGAAAUUGGCCUCCCGUGUGCUCCCGCUCGCGGUUGGCCUAAAUUUGAGUCAUUCGGCGAUCGUGCCGCGAUGAUCGGUGGUGUAACAUGCCUCUCGAGCUCCCAUCGCGCGCUCGCGUCUCCGUGCCACGGGCUCGCGGACCCUUGUAAACKCUUUGCGACCCCAGGUCAGGCGGGACUACC
rnacentral:sRNA from 1 species